AGAGAUUAAACGAACUUACCUUAAGUGAAGUUUGAUCUUAAUUAUAUGAAGCGUCUCGUCCGAAUAGAUCAUAAUUGUAGUAUACUUGUUUCCGAAGGAAUUCACCACAGUGUUCAAAGUAUAUGACCAUAGAGUCAUAUUUCCAACCUAAAAAACUGCGCACGCAUCCCCAUGCUUCCUCGAUGCUCCUUCAGCCUAGAGCCGCCAUUAUUUUUUAAAGCAAAUUUCCCAGAUUUCCCUUUUGUUUUUCGCCUUUUUUGUCCAGGGAACAAAGUAAGGGUUGGGUGGGACUGAUCUAUUCGGACGAGACGCUUCAUAUAAUUAAGAUCAAACUUCACUUAAGAUCAUAAUUGUAGAUGUUCAAAGAACUGAUGUAAAUCAGUGCAAAAAAGGUGCCGCUAAAAACCAGAGAAGUCCAAGAUGUAUCUCUACAACUGGGUAUCAAAAUAAAACUUAGUUUUAUUUUGAACAAAAAUAAGAGGUUGAUUUUUAUCAUGUAUAUACGAUUAAAUCAAGCUGGUUUUUUCCAAAUAGUUACAACUUGUAGCUCUCUUCGUACAUCCGAAGGUCUGGAAAAUCAUCGUUUGGAUGAUCGUACCUGGUUCCAAAAACCCUUCCGGGUCAAUAUCAAUGGGUAAAUUAUUUCGUACUUGAGACUUCAAUAUUUUUCCAGUGCAGAAAAGGUCUCAACGAAGGUCAUUCUUCUGUUUUGAUUCCAGAGAAAACAACGAUGUAUUUUCACAACUGAGUAUCAAAUAGAAACAAAGUUUUAAAUUGAACAAAAGGGAAACUACUAGCUCUCAUACCCCACUAAGGAUUAUUACUUUCCUUGAGUGGAGAUUAUUGUCAAAGUUGUAUUUUUUGUUCCCUAAUGUACAACAUAUUGAUUUGAUCUUAAACAAGACGGUAGAGCUUUUUUAACAUUUUUCUCAGUUUUCCGCAAACUGCACUGGUCUCCCGAAUUGACAAUAUCCAACUUCAAUUGAUUCAAAAGUUAAAAUUAUUAACUCUGAUCAGAGUCAAGGAAGAACAAUUGUAUUCAUUCUGUAAAGGACUGCCUUAGUUGAAUGAUUUUGUUUUCCUGGAUAGACCUAUUUUUGUAUUAGGCAAGUGUGUUGGUCAUGUAGACCAACCAGCCAUUAUCCAUAUCCAACACUUCUUGUUUUCCUAUGCAUAUCUGCUGACUGAGGGAGAUAACUGUCUCUGACCGAAGUAUUCGUUCAGCCAAUACUUCUUCCCUUUAUACAUUGCCACAGAUCCGCAAUAUUGUUCACACCUAUCUGAAAAGCCCACAAGGUUACCAUUCUCUGAAGCGUAGAACAAAUCGCUGGUUACUCGACUGUUUCUUAAGACAAAACAUUCAUGAACUUUUCUGAUGGUUGAUUUAUUCUUUGCAUUGUUUGUAAUUUCAUGGUCAUGCAGCUUAAUCCAUUACUUCGAUUGGAGAGUUCAUACACAAGCAUUAGAUGACUUUUCUGAGCUCUCUCAAAUUUUGAAUUGUAUUGUAUGCUGUUAGGGUGAAUUAAUUAUUACUAUUAUUUCA